GAAAGAGCGAGCAUGUGCCAGGCGGCGCGAGUGCGCCCAGGCCGACUGGCACGGAUACGGGCAUUAACUCAUCAGUCGAGCGAGAGCGCGCCGCCGGUCCGCAGCGCGUUCGCCGCCACCGCCGCCGUCCCGGCCGUGGCUGAAGCAACGACUCUCGGUGCCCGACGACCGCGCCGAGGCAUGCGCGCCGCCGCGAGCCGCCGCGCCAGCGCGUAGCGGCCCGAGAAUGCCGCGGCGCAUUGUUUCACACAGGCCGCCGAGCGACGCCAGCGUCAUCAACGUCGCCGCAGCGGAAGAGGGGACCACUACGAGCAUCCGGACGAUGCAGCGUCGCCACCAGCGAGAGACAGCGCGGUGCAGUGCCGCCGGCCCGAGGACGCCGGCCAGCACGGCCGCGCUGCUAUCGGUGCUGGCCUGCUCGCUGGCCAUCCUGCUGGUGUCCACGUGCCUGGGCAGCGCCGAGGCGGGCGCCCUCAUGGGCCAUCCCUUCAGCAAGCGCUCCUUCAUGGACAUCCAGUGCAAGGGCGUCUACGACAAGAGCCUCUUCGCCCGGCUCGACCGCAUCUGCGAGGACUGCUACAACCUGUUCCGUGAGCCGCAGCUGCACACUCUCUGCAGAAAAAACUGUUUCACGUCGGACUACUUUAAGGGCUGCCUAGACGUGCUGCUGCUGCAGGACGAGAUGGAGUGGAUACAGACGUCCAUCAAGACACUCCACGGUGCUGAUCCUGGGGUUUAGGUGCUUUUCCUUUUUUCGUUUGUUUAUUUUGUUCUCUUCUUCUUCUUCUUCUCCUCCUUCUUUUUUAUUCCCACUUCUCCUUUCCCUCCACGUCGUUACUCCAACCUGCAUACCCGACAAAGAAAAAAGCUAUACUUUCGCGUGCACUAUCGAAAAACUUUAAUUAAACGUUAUCUGAGACACUCUAUCGACCAUUAAAAUAUCCUUAGAGUGUAUAUGCAUUAUAUAAUAUUUAACGAUUAUCUCAGAAAAAUAAUUAUAACGUAGCUUUUUCCUUCGCGUUCUCGAUUCAUUAAUUCCUGCCCGUUCCACCAUAAUGCACUUGUUUUUUCUUUAGUUUCUUCAGUUUAAAUUUACUGUGUGUGCAAUGUAUAGAAUAGUGACAAGUUACUUCAGGACACAGAAACGUUUGUGUAUGAGCUUAGGCAGAACUGCUUCGGCAGCGAAUACUUCACGAGCUGCAUUCAGGCGCUGCUGCUUGAGGACGAGAAGGAAAAGUUCCAGGAGAUAGCCGAGUACCUCGGCCGCAAGAAGUAAAAGCUCUAGGAGACUGACGCACACUACGACAUCAAAAACGCAGCAAAACAAAAAAAAACAUAAAUAACGUAAAAAAAGAAGAAAAAAAAGAAGGAAGAAGAAGGACGAGGAGAUGCACCACACGCGGGAGAGAACUAAAGGCGAGUCGGAAGACUUUUGAUCGUCCAGUGGAGAGAAAACGAUCUUUCUUUCUUUUUCUGCGCCUAGAGACGGGAAAAAAUCGGGCUUUCUAGUAUUUCUUUCUUUCCUUUUUUUCCGUUGCUCGCCUCAUAUCCUGGUUUCUCACAGCUCGUUCCUUCGCGACGCGCUGAUUGCUCUCUCGAUUUUUUUUACGUUUACCCGCUGCUAGUAACGUUAUUCCGCGCGCGUCGGGCGAAAACCGCGUUGGCGAGGUCGGCGAUGGCGCACGAUGUCUCUUUUCCCCAGUGGAUUUUCAGUCACUCGGAAUUCGCAAAACCACGUAAGAGACGCGAUUUCUCGAAUUUUCUUUUUUCCUUUGUUUUGUGAUCGUUGGCCAUUUUGUCGAUGCCGUGAGCGCCAUCACGGAAGUCGCCAGUCGAGAGGGUACGACGCACGUACGUAAGAUGCAGCAGCGGCAACGGGAUUAUCACGAGCGAAAAUAAAAAAAACAUAAAAAUAAAAGAGUACGAAGUGACGAAAAGGACAUACAGUUUCGAGAGUUACAUGCGUCCCAUCAAAUACAAAUUCUAGUCGAACAACAACAUACGCACACUAACGCACACAAGCGCACGCGCACGCGCACGCACACGCACACGCACACGCACAUGCACGCACACACACACACACAGACGCGCGCGCGCGCGCGCGCGAGCGCGCAAAUAAACGAAAAAUUGAAGAACAAUACAAGAACAAUCAACACCGACAAUAAUAUAUCCGCGUGUUUUUGGCGCAGGCGCGCUUGAUGCGAGCGUCUCGCGCGCACAUCGCCGUGAACACAGGCGUGGGCGCUGUUCACCACGCGUGCGCUCGGCUAAUUAAUCAACCACGGUUCGAUUGCUGUCCCCAUCCGUCAUGCCCAUCGUUACAAUCACUGCAAUCACCACGAUUGCUAUAUUGUUGUCGAGCGCAGCGCACACGCUCCAGGCGCAUUUUGUAACAGCGUCGACGGAACGCGAUCCGCGCGUGAGCGUUCCUCGACCGUUGGAAGCGUCGAAAGGCGCCAGGCCGAGCUCGCUCAUUUCGGCGCGCUCUCCGCAUCGUUCACGGGGGAGCGCUGCACGGCGAGUGCGCAAGGGUCUCCGAAGGAAUCGAGCGGGCUGAGGAAGGUCGACGCUGGGCCGCGCGAGCUUGCGACUCGCGGCGGUCCGAACGACGCGCGACGCGGCGAGGGAAAGAAAAAAGAAGAACCGACGCCUCGGCUUUCCUCCAAUUUCUUUCGGUAUUUCGCACGUAGUAUUUAUUUAUUCCUUUGGCGUGCUCUGCCUUAAGGCUUAAGCUUAAGUUUUCCAAUUAGCCCGCGGCGAAGUAUUAUGGCACUCUUUCGUUGUAGGUCGCAGGCGUGCGCGGCGCUCCUUCGUUCUUCUGCCUCCUCGGGCGGAGGGGAGGCGAGCGGAUGAGAGGAGAUAGAGGGAAACACGCGUGUGUCGCUUCGCAAAAGUGCGCCGAAGAAACAGUGAAAAAGAUUCUCAAGAGUGGCCGCGGACGUGCGCGCGAGAGUGAGUGCGAGAGUGCAGAGUAUAACGGUCCAUUCCAAAAUCAGUAUUGAAAAGUUGUUUCCAUCCGCGAAACGCAGCCUUGCAUUUGUUCAUUCUCGACUUCUUCGUUAGUCCUCUUGACUUCGCAAGACUUUGUUUUCUUUUCUGCUUUCGUUCUGCGUCUAUUGCAAAACGAAUUCACGAGCAUCGGCAGGAGAACGAAAGAGAAACAAAAGAAACGCCAGUGUGAGCGAUUCGCUUGUCGCGAAGAAUCGACGAUUUGUAUUUCGUUUCUUUUUAAUUAUUUUUAAUAUUAUUAUUAGUCUACUAUUUGUAUUUAUUAAAAAAAAACAAAAAAAAAAAAAACACGGACACGCAAAAACAACAACGUUGGAUUUGCCGUGCAAAGUGUGAUUGCAUCGCUAUAUUAUUUUCACGACGAUGUUUGCGUUUUCCGAACUUCACAUCCGAGCGCCUUGAAAGUGAAACCGUGUAGGAAUGAUGCGUGUACAUAAUGGAUUUUAUGUAAUCUAUCCUUUGAUUUCCCCCUGUCCCUCCCCGCUCUCCCUCGAUUGCUUUGCAAAAUCGACAGCUUGGAUAUUGCUCAAUGUCUGUAUAUUUGGCGUCCGUUUGAGGAGUAAAGACAAAAUCGGAGAGGAUAACGCGAAACGAAUGAUUCGCAGGGACAAUGUUUGCGGCGACGAUGACAUGUUGGAAAGAUUGUAAUCUUAUUCGAUAACGAUUAAAUUUAAUAAAUUAUACCUAUUCACGUGUAUAAACAUUAUGUAUUGCGCGUAACGUAACUGUCACACGGAUAUCUAGAACAAAAGCAAAGGUGAAAUCUAUUAUUGUUUGCGUGAAAUAAACGAAUGAUUCAAGAAUAAA